UACGGAGGGUGCAAUUGUUAUCCGGAAUCAAUGGGUUUAAAGGGUGCGUAGGCGGCUAAAUAAGUCAGAUGAGAAAGCUUGCAGCUUAACUGCGAAAUUGCCUUUGAUACUGUAUAGCUUGAAAGGAGCUGAGGUCAGCAGAAUGUGGCAUGUAGCGGUGACAUGCAUAGAUAUGCCAUAGAAUUCCAAUUGCGAAGGCAGCUGGCUGGGCUUACUUUGACGCUGAGGCACGAAAUCGUGGGGAUCGAACAGG
rnacentral:rRNA from 1 species